rnacentral:rRNA from 1 species
UACAGAGGUCUCAAGCGUUGUUCGGAAUCACUGGGCGUAAAGGGUGCGUAGGCGGCGGAGUAAGUCGGGUGUGAAAUUUGAGGGCUCAACCUUCAACUUGCACCUGAUACUACUUUGCUCGAGUCCUGAAGAGGAGCUUGGAAUUCUCGGUGUAGCAGUGAAAUGCGUAGAUUUCGAGAAGAACGCUCGCAGCGAAAGCGAAGCUCUGGUCAGGCACUGACGCUGAGGCACGAAGGCUAGGGGAGCAAACGGG